AAGAGUACCCUAGAACAAGAAGGAAUACUAGGGCCCUGAAUCUCACGUCUUCUACCCUUACCCUCCUAGGACUGCCUUUAUUCAAGCUUGUCCAGCUGCACCAUUGGAGGUUACUGUGGCAACCAGACCCACAGGCAGCCAGUAAUCAGGAAACAGCUGCCAACAGUAAGUGAUGGUGGAUGAAAAGGCCAAAAACAGAGACCCUCAAAAGCAAGAGAAAUAGACUGUGGUAGAGAAGAGGAGGCCCCAGAGUGCUGACAGGUGCUCAGCUCCAAGCCAGUCCCAGAAGUCACUACCCAGCAGACAGUCAAAUCCUGCACAGACUGCCACACCACCAACCACAGGCAGACAUGAACACAAUGAUUUUACAACUAUGGAUGCACAGUAACACAGGUGGGGCACAUGGUUAGCCCAACAGCAGUGGGUCUGGUAAAAAUGAACAUGGAUAAGGCACCAACUACUAUGUCCAACGAAACAGUGGAUUUCAUGUACUCUUGAGUGAACUCACAACCCUGCAAUCAAGACCCGAGGUGAGAUCAAGAGUCGGAUGGGUAACCAACUGAGCCACCCAGGUGCCCCGAUAGUUUAGUAUUUUAUUUUAUUUUAUUUUAUUUAUUUUUAGGUUUAGUAUUUUAAAGGGUUUUUUCCUCUUUCCAGGAAAAAGGGAAACACCCCAAAUCCCCCAGACUCCUCUGGAAGGCUGCUCUUGGCCCAGACCUCCCAGCUUAUACUCCUCUGCCCUCUGAUACCUUCUGCCUACUGCAGUGAGAGAGAGAGCACAAGUUGGGGAAAAGGGCAGAGAGACAGAAACAAGGAGGCUCCAUGCUCAGGGCAGAGCACAACGCAGGGCUCGAUUCCACAACCCUGGGAUCAAGAGCUGGACAGUCAACUGACUGAGCCACCCAGAUGCCCCACUUCUGUUGCUUCUAAUAGGCUUGUUGCAACAUCCCACUAUCUGCCUCUCACCUUUGACCCAUUUAUACUCUGCUUUGUGCCUGGGUGAGGCUGUUAUCACUGGUUGGUUGUUUUAACACUUGCGUCUCACUUCUACUUACGAAUGUCUGUGACAGUCAAAGAAAUUGCUGAGGAGGGCCCUAACCUCUCCCCCAACCUACCCCCAUCAGGGAGAGAAAAGAUAUAUCAGGAACAGGUGGCAUUUCAAAGUGCAUCAUAAAAAGGAAGUGCCAGUCAGGAGGGAGUUACUCACCAUCUGCUCUGCUCCCUUCACAAAUAUGCCUCCUGGAGCUUCCCUAUUUGACUUAACAUCUACGGAAUAACCAAAGGAAUAGAAGAAUCUACCACCACUAACGUCAAGGAAACAAAACAUUCCAUUUUAAAAUGGAAGCUGUUUCAAAGGGCAAAUUAUCCAGAAGCACAGAC
rnacentral:lncRNA from 1 species